UACAGAGGCCUCGAGCGUUAGGCGGAAUCACUGGGCUUAAAGCGUGUGUAGGCGGACUUCUAAGUGCCUUGUGAAAUCCCACGGCUCACCCGUGGAACUACUGGGCAUACUGGGAGUCUUGAGCCACCUAGGGGCGAGCGGAACAAAUGGUGGAGCGGUGAAAUGCGUAGAUAUCAUUUGGAACGCCAACGGAGAAAUCAGCUCGCUGGGGGUGUGCUGACGCCGAGACGCGAAAGCCAGGGGAGCGAACGGG
rnacentral:rRNA from 1 species